GAUGAACGCUGACAGAAUGCUUAACACAUGCAAGUCAACUUGAACUUCGGUUUGGGUGGCGGACGGGUGAGUAACGCGUAAAGAACUUGCCUCACAGAUAGGGACAACAUUUGGAAACGAAUGCUAAUACCUGAUAUUAUGAUUAUAUGGCAUCGUAUAAUUAUGAAAGCUAUAUGCGCUGUGAGAGAGCUUUGCGUCCCAUUAGCUAGUUGGAGAGGUAACGGCUCACCAAGGCGAUGAUGGGUAGCCGGCCUGAGAGGGUGAUCGGCCACAAGGGGACUGAGACACGGCCCUUACUCCUACGGGAGGCAGCAGUGGGGAAUAUUGGACAAUGGACCAAGAGUCUGAUCCAGCAAUUCUGUGUGCACGAUGAAGUUUUUCGGAAUGUAAAGUGCUUCCAGUUGGGAAGAAAAAAAUGACGGUACCAACAGAAGAAGUGACGGCUAAAUACGUG
rnacentral:rRNA from 1 species